GGGGGUGUUCCGGAUUCGAUUUUACAAAUGAAACGAAAGCGGCAUGCCGAAGAUAAUGGUUGGCUUCGUGAUCAAUCCAUUAAAAAACAAGUGAAAACAGUAAUGUUCUUCGCUUCCGUCGCCGCAAAGUGGCCAGCAAGCAAGUAUUGCCUCUCCUCUUAGCUGCGUAGGAAAGUUCAAUGGACUGCGUAUCCGCAGUUCUGCGUUUAACGCUUAUACUCGCUCGGCGUUAAACGCUGUUUUAGCGAGCAUCAUUCAUUGAGUUGCAGCGAUGAAUUGUAUUUUUUUGCAACGAACCAAGCAAAACAGGCAUCUAUGAGGUUGCUUGGGGCAUUUGAUGAGAUGCUACGCAUGUAGAAGUUUUCGGUGCACGUGUAAAAGACGCGAGUUCAACUCUCGCCACCUCCACCA
rnacentral:tmRNA from 1 species